AACCUAGGAAAAGGUAUCAACUCGGAGCU
rnacentral:piRNA from 1 species